rnacentral:rRNA from 1 species
AUGUUCCUUGCUAGUAAUCAGUUCUUAGGAUGUCUUCCACAAGAAAUAGGUUUGCUGGUGAAUUUACAACGUCUGGAUCUUAGCACAAACAAAUUGAUAGGCUCUAUCCCCAAUAUCUUUGGAAAUUUGACAAAGCUCACCACCUUGCAACUCAGUUACAAUCAAUUCUCCGGAGAAGCUCCUCGAGAAAUUGGCACCUUAAUGGAUCUCGAGCUAUUGCAGUUGGAUGGUAACAAUAUAUCUGGUCCUUUGCCACCUGACUUGUGCUCUGGAGGGCGGUUGAAGAAUUUAACUGGAUCUGAUAAUAAUCUGAAUGGACAACUUCCAUCAAGUUUGAUACAUUGCCGAAGCCUAGUCAGAGUUCGUAUUGGAAGGAAUCAGAUAGAGGGAGAUAUCUCUGCUUUAGGAGUUCAUCCUAAUCUGGUGUAUAUGGAUAUGAGCUCGAAUAAACUGUUUGGUCAAUUAUCUUAUAACUAG